UACGGAGGGUGCAAGCGUUAUCCGGAUUUACUGGGUUUAAAGGGUGCGUAGGUGGGUAAGUAAGUCAGUGGUGAAAUCUCCGGGCUUAACUCGGAAAUUGCCAUUGAUACUAUAGGUCUUGAAUCAUCUGGAGGUAAGCGGAAUAUGUCAUGUAGCGGUGAAAUGCUUAGAUAUGACAUAGAACACCAAUUGCGAAGGCAGCUUACUACGGAUGUAUUGACACUGAGGCACGAAAGCGUGGGGAUCAAACAGG
rnacentral:rRNA from 1 species